rnacentral:lncRNA from 1 species
CAGGUGGACAAUAUAUUUUCUGAUAGGAUCUUACCUGUUCCAGUAAUUGAUACAAGGAAUGAUGUCAGAAAACAGACUUUCCCUACAGAUUCUGCAAUGGGAUUCUGCACAUGUUCAAGAAAUAAACAGAAAACAUUCCUAUCAGUGGAAAAAAUGGAAAUUGGUAAUCCAUGCUAUGCAUCAGCAUCACAUUCACAUUUUCAUGUGGUGGCUUGGAGGUAUCAACUAAUAUGUAGAUGACAAGCAUGGUAUUGGGGAAUUGUGGCUAUAGCAAUGUAAUAGCAAUUUGAUAACUAUGAAAACAAUACGAUUAUGCAAAUCAUGGCCCCAAAGAGCCUGUCUGUGGAAAAAAUCAUUGAAGCUCCUGAAUGUCCAAACUCAAAACACAAGUGUAAAUCCACAUUCCUUCCAAGGAAGCAAUAUCUUUGAGAACCUUAAUCCUAGCUGAGCUCUGUUGACCAUAUUUGACAAUAGGAGAUACUAUGAAUAAGCUGAGGUCUUAUUCCCCAAGACUGGGUAAUUUAUAAAGGAAAGAGAUUUAAUUGAUGUACAGUUCAGCAUGGCUGUAAGAAAACUCACAAUCAUGGCGGAAGGUGAAGAGGAAGCAAGGCACCUUCUUCACAAGGUGGCAGGAAGAAGUGAGAAGUAAAGGGGGAAGAGCUCCUUAUAAAACCAUCAGAUCUCGUGAGAACUUACUAUCAUGAGAACAGCAUGAGGCAAACCUCCCCCAUGAUUCAAUUACCUACACCUGGUCUCUCCCUUGACACGUGGGGAUUAUGUGGAUUACAGUUCAAGGUGAGAUUUGAGUGGGGACCCAAAGCCUAACUGUAUCAACUAAUGACAGAGAUUAAGUGGUUUGGGAAUUGCAGGAGCCUAGUGACAACAUUUAACCAACAGAUAAGGGUCAGGCCAUCUGCAGAAGAGAACUAAGCACUCUCGGAAAACCACAUUCUUAUGUGCUACAGAGCCCAGCAGAAAAAGAAACACUGCAUGUGGAACAUCUGUUGACUAUACAGAAAGAGCAGGUAUCCAGGAGUGAGGUCAAACAUAUGCAAUAUACUUUUAUUGCAUAAUUGAAAUGGUGCAUUUGGAUUUGGAAAUUCGCAGGUCUAGAACAAAAAAUAAUUUACGUGAAGAGGUGUAAAUUCCUGAAAAGUGCAACAUUGGGAUAUCUAAUAAGAGCAAGUUUGGGCUUCAGUGAGGAAACAAUAAAAAUUUUGCAGAAGAAGCACAUGAAUAGAUCAUGAGAGUGGGCAAACAGCGUAAGAAACUGUGUCUCACGUUGAUAUCUACCUAAAAGUAUCCAAUACAGAGGAAGCACUUAAAAAUAAGAGAAAUAAGUGGAAUCCUUGUAAGGAUAUAAAACACAAUUUGUCUCAGCCACUCAGCCGUCCAACUUGAACAAUGAGCCCAUUAAGAGAACAGGACGAAAACAAGGUUUUCCUUUCUUUGUCAGAUCUCACUACUGCCAUUGCUGAUAGUCCAGCCUGCCAACAUCAGAGACAAACAUAGAGCACUCAAUAGAGUAGCGUCAACUAAUGGGACAUGUCAAUCACUUAGCAAUAUAUUGAUUAUAUCAGACUUGUCCAAACAGUAGUCCAUUCUUAUUGGAAUAGGUGUUUCUCUAAGAUUUGGGUUUGCCUUUCUAGCCCCUGUGCCUUUGCUAGUACCAUCAUCCAGGGGUUUAUAUAAUGCCACGUUUACACCUUGGCACACAAUAUAAUAUUUACUUAAUCAAAGUAACCAUUUUCUUAUGGUGAGUACAAGUAUUCUUUUUAUUAUGAUUAUGAUUAUUUAAACUAUGAAUAUACACCUUAUACUGGUCUUUGUAUGUGUAAUACAUAUUUGUAUAUGUAUAAUAUACAAAUAUAUAAUAUAUCUUUG